UUCUUGCCUUUGUACAGAGCCAAAAGAGACACAUUGGCUACUUUAACCACCUUAAAGCGGACUCCAGGAAUAUCACCCACGGCAUGGCCUUUGCGACCAAAUCCAGCAACCAGAACUUCAUCAUUUUCCUCAAUGAAGUUCAAGCAACCGUCAUUGGGCACGAAGGCUGUGAUCUUCUUGCCGUUCUUAAUGAGGUGCACCCUGACACACUUCCGGAUGGCAGAAUUUGGCUGUUUGGCUUCAACCCCUACUUUUUCCAGCACAAUUCCCUUUGCGUGAAAGGCACCCCCAAACGG
rnacentral:lncRNA from 1 species